rnacentral:rRNA from 1 species
AGGGUCUGUAGCCGGCCAGGUAAGUCCCUUGGGAAAUCUGGCAGCUCAACUGUCAGGCUGCUAGGGGAUACUGUUUGGCUUGGGACCGGGAGAGGUGAGAGGUACCUUGGGGGUAGGGGUGAAAUCUUGUGAUCCUCGGGGGACCACCAGUGGCGAAGGCGUCUCACCAGAACGGGUCCGACGGUAAGGGACGAAAGCUAGGGGCACGAACCGGAUUAGAUACCCGGGUAGUCCUAGCCGUAAACGAUGCUCGCUAGGUGUCAGUCACGGUGCGACCGUGAUUGGUGCCGUAGGGAAGCCGUGAAGCGAGCCACCUGGGAAGUAUGGCCGCAAGGCUGAAACUUAAAGGAAUUGGCGGGGGAGCACUACAACGGGUGGAGCCUGCGGUUUAAUUGGAUUCAACGCCGGAAAUCUCACCGGGGGCGACAGCGAUAUGAAGGUCAGGCUGAAGACCUUACCCGAUUAGCUGAGAGGAGGUGC